AGUGGGAGCACAGGUUUACCUGUGUGACUGCGUACCUUUUGUAUAAUGGGUCAGCGACUUAUAUUCUGUAGCAAGGUUAACCGAAUAGGGGAGCCGGAGGGAAACCGAGUCUUAAUUGGGCGUUAAGUUGCAGGGUAUAGACCCGAAACCCGGUGAUCUAGCCAUGGGCAGGUUGAAGGUUGGGUAACACUAACUGGAGGACCGAACCGACUAAUGUUGAAAAAUUAGCGGAUGACCUGUGGCUGGGGGUGAAAGGCCAAUCAAACCGGGAGAUAGCUGGUUCUCCCCGAAAGCUAUUUAGGUAGCGCCUCGUGAAUUCAUCUCCGGGGGUAGAGCACUGUUUCGGCUAGGGGGCCAUCCCGGCUUACCAACCCGAUGCAAACUGCGAAUACCGGAGAAUGUUAUCACGGGAGACACACGGCGGGUGCUAACGUCCGUCGUGAAGAGGGAAACAACCCAGACCGCCAGCUAAGGUCCCAAAGUCAUGGUUAAGUGGGAAACGAUGUGGGAAGGCCCAGACAGCCAGGAUGUUGGCUUAGAAGCAGCCAUCAUUUAAAGAAAGCGUAAUAGCUCACUGGUCGAGUCGGCCUGCGCGGAAGAUGUAACGGGGCUAAACCAUGCACCGAAGCUGCGGCAGCGAACGUAUCACCCAAGACAACUUUACGGAGUUGACGAUUGACGGAGCGAAGCGACGUCAAAGCGUUCAUUAAAGUCGAGUUGGCUUAGGGAUACGUUCGUUGGGUAGGGGAGCGUUCUGUAAGCCUGUGAAGGUGUGUCGUGAGGCAUGCUGGAGGUAUCAGAAGUGCGAAUGCUGACAUAAGUAACGAUAAAGCGGGUGAAAAGCCCGCUCGCCGGAAGACCAAGGGUUCCUGUCCAACGUUAAUCGGGGCAGGGUGAGUCGACCCCUAAGGCGAGGCCGAAAGGCGUAGUCGAUGGGAAACGGGUUAAUAUUCCCGUACUUGGUGUUACUGCGAAGGGGGGACGGAGAAGGCUAUGUUGGCCGGGCGACGGUUGUCCCGGUUUAAGCGUGUAGGUGUGUGUUCCAGGUAAAUCCGGUU
rnacentral:rRNA from 1 species